rnacentral:rRNA from 1 species
AUGAACGCUGGCGGCGUGCCUAAUACAUGCAAGUCGAGCGAACAGACGAGGAGCUUGCUCCUCUGACGUUAGCGGCGGACGGGUGAGUAACACGUGGAUAACCUACCUAUAAGACUGGGAUAACUUCGGGAAACCGGAGCUAAUACCGGAUAAUAUAUUGAACCGCAUGGUUCAAUAGUGAAAGACGGUUUUGCUGUCACUUAUAGAUGGAUCCGCGCCGCAUUAGCUAGUUGGUAAGGUAACGGCUUACCAAGGCAACGAUGCGUAGCCGACCUGAGAGGGUGAUCGGCCACACUGGAACUGAGACACGGUCCAGACUCCUACGGGAGGCAGCAGUAGGGAAUCUUCCGCAAUGGGCGAAAGCCUGACGGAGCAACGCCGCGUGAGUGAUGAAGGCCUUCGGAUCGUAAAACUCUGUUAUUAGGGAAGAACAAAUGUGUAAGUAACUAUGCACGUCUUGACGGUACCUAAUCAGAAAGCCACGGCUAACUACGUG